rnacentral:lncRNA from 1 species
AGGCUCAAGUUUGCUUGUGGGGUACUGCCUAAGUCCUCUCCGCGGCGGCAGCAACCGGGAAGAUCUGCGCCGCUCUUUCCAGGAGGCUCCGUGCACCAGGGUUCCAGAUGGCGUUUGGUGUUUUCCUCUGGCGUCUGGAUGUGCACAGAGUGCAGUCCCGAGUGCUUUUACUUAGAAAUCCCAGGGAUCAAAUUCACUGUCUCCAUUUCCAAAUGGCCCUGCUCUGUACUCGACUUCACAGUUAUCAACAUAUUCUCAACUUCCCAACCAGAAAUUUGGGGUUCACCUUUCUGCCUCCUAUUCCCCCUUGCCAUCCAGUUAGUUGCAAAGUACUUGUGGCCGGCUAGAACUCGUUUUGCCUGUUGAGGAACCAGCGCCUGACCUAGAGUGAGCAAAGAAUAAAAAAUGAACCAAAGAGGGGAUGGGUUUCGCUGUCCAGGGCCAUCACUGAGAGGAGGUGUGGUGGUUGAGCUGUCUCUGUGUUUGUCUCCCUCCAGUCUGAGAUACACUAUGAACUCUUUGCUGUGAUUGCCCAUGUUGGGAUGGCAGACUUCGGUCAUUACUGUGCCUACAUCCGGAAUCCCGUGGAUGGAGAAUGGUUCUGCUUCAAUGAUUCACAUGUUUGUUGGGUGACCUGGAAGGAUGUCCAGUGUACCUAUGGGGAUCACAUAUAUCGUUGGAGGGAAACUGCCUAUCUCUUGGUUUACAUGAAGACUGGAUCCUGACAGAUAUACUCACACCUUCAGAGAGUGACAGACUCUUUUCUCCUCUCCUGUACCCACAUCUGCUGCAUUUCAACGAGAAUCGUAAUUUAAAAACCAUAAUUAAGCCCUAUUUAUAAGCAAGGAUUAUUAUUAUUGCUGUGGCUUGGCUGUAGUUUGUCUCCCAACAGCUCACACACAGAAGGCUUGGUCUUUAGUAUGGAGGCGUUUGGGUGACAGAACUUUUAAGGGACAGGGCCCAGUGGGAGGUAAUCAGUUCAUGGGAUCUCUCUUCUGUGCACUAAUAGUUCCUUUUCUGUUUCUCCGUGGUGAUGCAAACAGGGUGAUCCAACAUGCCAGUGCCAAGCUGGUUGGAUCCUCUAGCUUUCAAAAUUCCAAGUCAAAUAAAUGUUAUUACACACUA